rnacentral:rRNA from 1 species
GUGUCAGCCGCCGCGGUAAUACGGAGGAUGCAAGCGUUAUCCGGAUUCAUUGGGUUUAAAGGGUGCGUAGGCGGAUUGAUAAGUCAGUGGUGAAAUCCUGCAGCUUAACUGUAGAACUGCCAUUGAUACUGUCAACCUUGAAUGCAGUUGAGGUAGGCGGAAUGUGUAAUGUAGCGGUGAAAUGCGUAGAUAUUACACAGAACACCGAUUGCGAAGGCAGCUUGCUAAACUGUGAUUGACGCUGAGGCACGAAAGCGUGGGGAUCAAACAGGAUUAGAUACCCCAGUAGUCC